GAUGAACGCUGGCGGCGUGCCUAAUACAUGCAAGUCGAGCGAACGGACGAGAAGCUUGCUUCUCUGAUGUUAGCGGCGGACGGGUGAGUAACACGUGGAUAACCUACCUAUAAGACUGGGAUAACUUCGGGAAACCGUAGCCAAUACCGGAUAAUAUUUUGAACCGCAUGGUUCAAAAGUGAAAGACGGUCUUGCUGUCACUUAUAGAUGGAUCCGCGCUGCAUUAGCUAGUUGGUAAGGUAACGGCUUACCAAGGCAACGAUGCAUAGCCGACCUGAGAGGGUGAUCGGCCACACUGGAACUGAGACACGGUCCAGACUCCUACGGGAGGCAGCAGUAGGGAAUCUUCCGCAAUGGGCGAAAGCCUGACGGAGCAACGCCGCGUGAGUGAUGAAGGCCUUCGGAUCGUAAAACUCUGUUAUUAGGGAAGAACAUAUGUGUAAGUAACUGUGCACAUCUUGACGGUACCUAAUCAGAAAGCCACGGCUAACUACGUG
rnacentral:rRNA from 1 species